CCUACGGGAGGCUGCAGUGAGGAAUAUUGGUCAAUGGGCUUACGCCUGAACCAGCCAAGUCGCGUGAGGGAAGACUGCCCUAUGGGUUGUAAACCUCUUUUGCCAGGGAGCAACGCCGGCUACGUGUAGCCGGACUGAGAGUACCUGAAGAAAAAGCAUCGGCUAACUCCGUGCCAGCAGCCGCGGUAAUACGGAGGAUGCGAGCGUUAUCCGGAUUGAUUGGGUUUAAAGGGUGCGUAGGCGGAAUGCCAAGUCAGCGGUAAAAUCGCGGGGCUCAACCUCGCUCCGCCGUUGAAACUGGCGUUCUUGAGUGGGCGAGAAGUAUGCGGAAUGCGUGGUGUAGCGGUGAAAUGCAUAGAUAUCACGCAGAACUCCGAUUGCGAAGGCAGCAUGCCGGCGCCCAACUGACGCUGAAGCACGAAAGCGUGGGUAUCGAACAGGAUUAGAUACCCCUGUAGUC
rnacentral:rRNA from 1 species